AAAUAAGAUAUCAAGGGCAACAGGUGAAUGCCUUGGCGCUGAGAGGCGAUGAAAGACGCGGUAAGCUGCGAUAAGCAUCGGGGAGGAGCUAAACAUCCUACGAUCCGAUGAUUUCUGAAUGGGGAAACCCGAUGGGAGUCAUGUCCCGUCAUCCUGAGCUGAAUAUAUAGGCCCAGAGAAGCCAACCCGGGGAAGUGAAACAUCUCAGUACCCGGAGGAAGAGAAAUCAAACGAGACUCCCAAAGUAGCGGCGAGCGAAAUGGGAAGAGCCCAAACCGAGUGGUUUCGACCAUUCGGGGUUGUAGGGCCGGCAUACGCGAUUCUGGAGUAGGCAGAGGAAGUGAGCUGGAAAGCUCCGCCACAGCGGGUGAUAGCCCCGUACUCGAAACCGAAAAGGACGCAGCCGGUACCUGAGUACUGCGAGGCACGUGGAACCUCGUGGGAAUCUAGGGGGACCAUCCUCUAAGGCUAAGUACUCCUCAGCGACCGAUAGUGAACUAGUACCGUGAGGGAAAGGUGAAAAGAACCCCUGUUAGGGGAGUGAAAUAGAAUCUGAAACCUGUUGCCUACAAGCUGCGAGAGCUACUUCGGUAGUGAUCGCGUGCCUUUUGUAUAAUGAGUCAGCGAGUUACUCUACCGUGCGAGGUUAAGCGAAAGCGUAGCCGUAGUGAAAGCGAGGCUUAAUAGGCCGACUAGUACGUUGGAGUAGACCCGAAACCGGGUGAUCUAUCCAUGAGCAGGUUGAAGCAAGGGUAAAGCCUUGUGGAGGACCGAACCGUCAACGGCUGAAAACGUUCCGGAUGACUUGUGGAUAGGGGUGAAAGGUCAAUCAAACCCGGUGAUAGCUGGUUCUCCCCGAAAUAUAUUGAGGUAUAGCCUCGGGAAUUGAUUAGCGGAGGUAAAGCACUGACAGAGCUAGGGGUCCUACCAGAUUACCAAACUCUAUC
rnacentral:rRNA from 1 species